rnacentral:rRNA from 1 species
UGAAUACGAGAUGCUACGGCGUCGAAGCAGUGUAUGUCAGACUUCCAAGAAAAGCUCGCAAUGUCAUAAAUAAAGAAUGCCUGUACCAUAACCGACACAGGUGGGUAGGUAGAGUAUACUAAGGGGCGCGAGAUAACUCUCUCUAAGGAACUCGGCAAAAUAACUCCGUAACUUCGGGAGAAGGAGUGCCUUCUUGAAGAAGGUUGCAAUAACAAGAUCCAAGCAACUGUUUAUCAAAAACACAGGUCUCCGCUAAGUCGAAAGACGAUGUAUGGGGGCUGACGCCUGCCCAGUGCCAGAAGGUUAAAGAAGCUGGUUAGCAAUAGCGAAGCUGGUGACUGAAGCCCUGGUGAACGGCGGCCGUAACUAUAACGGUCCUAAGGUAGCGAAAUUCCUUGUCGGGUAAGUUCCGACCCGCACGAAAGGCGUAAUGAUUUGGAUACUGUCUCGGAGAGGGACUCGGUGAAAUAGACUUGUCUGUGAAGAUGCGGACUACCUGCACCAGGACAGAAAGACCCUAUGAAGCUUUACUGUAACUUGAAAUUGAAAUUGGACUUUAUUUGCGCAGUAUAGGUGGAAGGCGUUGAGAUUACUCUUGCGGGAUUAGUGGAGCCAUCAGUGAGAUACCACUCCUAUAAUGUUAGAUUUCUAACUUUGGAUCAUAAUCUGGUCAAAGAACAGUUUCAGGCGGGCAGUUUGACUGGGGCGGUCGCCUCCCAAAUGGUAACGGAGGCGUACAAAGGUUUCCUCUGAACGGGUAGAAAUCGUAUCUAGAGUGUAAAGGCAUAAGGAAGCUUGACUGUGAGACCUACAAGUCGAGCAGGGACGAAAGUCGGUCUUAGUGAUCUGACGGUGCUGAGUGGAAAGGCCGUCACUCAACGGAUAAAAGUUACUCUAGGGAUAACAGGCUGAUCUCCCCCAAGAGUUCACAUCGACGGGGAGGUUUGGCACCUCGAUGUCGGCUCAUCGCAUCCUGGGGCGGUAGUACGUCCCAAGGGUUGGGCUGUUCGCCCAUGAAAGCGGUACGCGAGCUGGGUUCAGAACGUCGUGAGACAGUUCGGUCCAUAUCCGGUGUAGGCGUUAGAAUAUUGAGAGGAGCCUUCUUUAGUACGAGAGGACCGAGAAGGACAUACCUCUGGUGUACCAGUUAUCGUGCCAACGGUAAACGCUGGGUAGCUAUGUAUGGAGAGGAUAACCGCUGAAAGCAUCUAAGUGGGAAGCCCACCUCAAGAUGAGUAUUCUCAG